AGAAAAUAAGUGGGUGUGGCCCAAAAGGAAAUAAACAAAUAAAUGGGCUUAGCCCAAAUAAGAAAAAUAGAGAAGCCCAUGGAGAAGGCCCAAAGGUCAUAAAGAAAUGAAAAAGGCCCAAUGUUUGUCAUGGAGGCGUGCCGAACGAAGUAUGUGACCGACAAAUAAGAACAAUUAUAAACACGUACGAAUCAAUAGUGAAUUAAUAUCCCACUAUUAUGAGAUAGGGAUCAGCCUAGCGUGUAGUCAGUGAUGCAUUCGGUCCACCGUGAAUAGAUAAAGGCAUCUCCUAGCAAUUUAUUCCGAGUCGCUCCGCUGAUAAAGGUCAAGUCGUAGCAUUUUAUUUAUUAAGUUGUAAAUGAAUUCUAAAUUUUUAUAUAGCAUUAAUUUGG
rnacentral:sRNA from 1 species